UCAAACAAAUGUUUCCUUAUACUUAAACUGUUUUAUCAAACUUAUGCCUUCAAAUUGUUUUAUAGAUUGACAUCAAGUCGAUCUUUUCUUAAAAUAAUAUUUAUGUUUCAAAUGUCUUACAAAACUUAUUUAUGCUUUUAUAUUAUAAAUUGCAUGCCUCUAUAUGUAUAGUUAUAUAAGAAAUGUUUAAAAGACUUAGGAAGGCUAUCCACCCUAUUUCCUUUUCGCGCUUGAGAUGUGGUCUGGUGGGAUAUCGGGUACUCGUCCGAAGGUCGUUUAAAUAUUAGUUAUAUAUCAUGUGUACAUAUAUAGUCAUAAAAGGUCCUUCCAGUUCAUCAUAUGCCCUUGGGUAGCAAGGGUAUACAUCCAUGUUCAUACGUACCAGUUAGAUUACUAGUAAACUACCAUAUGGGUAGUUUAGGAAGAUACUAGAACAAUUACUAGAACGCGAUAUCAUACAAUGAGUCAGUUCAUUCAUGAGUCAAUACUUUCUAGAACAUUACAGUACAUUACAUAUACAACUAUACUAGGAAUAGAACAUAUACAACUAUACUAGAAUGAUUACAUUACUAUACUUGCUAGGUAGAGAGCACGUACAUUACAGCUAGAACAAUUCAUUACAGUACAUAUACAAGAAUACGUUAAUUAUUGUGAUUUAAAUCGGAGCAUGACUUAAUUGUCAUGACUCGAGUCGUACUAACUACCUUAAUCCGGUUUAAGGUAGUUAGUACGGCAGGAGUUCUUAUAGCACUACAACAUAGUACUAUUUCAUUUUUCCCAUUACAUUCACUUCGUGAACAUUCACACGACGCACGGUAAUGUAGAAACUAUAUUUUUGGAUAAUGAUAGUUAUAAUUGGGAACAUACAUACUCUUACAAGGGACACACAUUCAGAGCAGUUAGGUCUUGGUAGAAGACUACAUUCAGAACAGUUAGGUCUUGGUAGAAGACACCUUCAAGUACUAGUAGCAAAUCAUAGGGAUUUCUAGGGUUUUUCAAACACUUACAGUUAAUAUACACUUUCAAUACUUACUACACAUAUACAUACAAUUUCUUACAUACAAAUUAAGACACUAAAAUACUUAUGAUCUCACUAGCUUCAAAGCUGAUACUCGCUUUCAAAAUUACUUGUAUCCUCAGGUCAUCAUAGACAGGUACCGAUGCAAGGAGAAAGGAAGAUGGAGCUUGUUCAAGACUUAUCUUUCAUUUUGAUUUAUGCUUUAGUGUUUAUCAAAAUUUGACAGAACACAAUUGUAUAAUAAUUAUAUUAUUAAUGCAAUGGAUGAUGUUGUUGCUUGUUUACUACUUUACAUUGUUGUGAUAUUAUACAUGACGUCCUCCGCCCCAGAACGUUUCCGCCGUUCUUGGUUUUGGGGUGUGACAGAUUGGUAUCAGAGCAUUGUUUAUAGUGAAUUAAGUAUAUCAACCCAUAAAAAAUAUACUAACUAUAAAUACAUAAGGGAUUAAAAAUACUCUAACCAAGAGUUUAUACUUUAAAUAGUAAAAUAUUUAAGUAAGUAUACGUGCUGCAUUCAUACUAAAAUCAGUGUCACUAGGACAGUACAAAAGAAUUACGAUUGUUGGGCAACACAGGUGGGCUUAGAGACAUAUGGUCAAAACUGGGAAGAUAUAGCCUGAUCACCUAUAUUAUUCGAGGGUUGACUAGCAUGUGCCUAUGUUCAAUUGUGUGGUUGCAACAAUGCUAAAAUCUUACCAACCCUACCACCAUGAGAACAGUAGAACAUAACAUUAAAAUUCAAAUACUAUAAGAGUAUUUGGUGUUACUAUGAGUACUUUAUACUUGAGAAUUUAAAACGGGAUCUUCAUUACUAAGUUGAUAGUUGCUAAGUGGAUACACUAAGGCUAUAUGUAAUUAGGAUGUUAUAGACUUAGAAUCUGUGAAAAUUUUGCCUUACCCCUAUUUUGUGUGAAUUUGGAAUUAAGGUCACUUAUUCGAAGGUCUAUCCUGUUUAGAUUACAUAUAACUGGUAUGCACUUCACAAAUGGCGAUGUAACUGAUGAAGAUUUUCUAAAUAAUUAUCUAGAUAGUUCGUCUAAUAAUUAUUCUCUUACCCUAAAUUCUCGCAUAUAAAAAAUAGUUGGACUCCAUUCCCUCGGCAACCAAUACCUUCCGAAUGAGGUCAUUGUUGGUUGGUUUGGAGAAGAACCAGAGAGUGAUCAUCCUGUCCCUUUGAAUGAUCACCAUGAUGAAGACCUUUCGUAUGAUGCUAACUCCGAACCAGAGGUUGAGAACCUACCCAGAGCAGCUCCCUUUCAAAUUCCUAACCCUCGUCCGGAUUUUCCAUGGCCCGACCCCUGAGUGAGUGGAAUGCUUGGAAACAUGGAGCCAAGGACAAGAUCAGUCCAUGCCAUUUAAUGGCGACCGAAGCUUUUACGACUUGAGCAAUGGGGGCUCAGCAGAUAGAGUCUUGCCAAUCUUGGUCCUCAAAGUGGCCCGAAAUGAGAUUCAAGGCAGGACAACCCUACAUCAGGUUACCGAAGUUGUCGCCAAUGCGAGAAUGCAUACCCUCCGCACCAUUCGUCUAGAAGAUGCUCACGGGAGAUCAGAGAGAAACCAUGAAACCCUACUGCAAGCACUAGCUGAAUUACGAGCCGAAGUCAUAGAGCCCCGAGUACGCCAGAGGGUGUAUGAAAGAUGCAUACUUGACAUGGAACGUCAAUUGGAGGAACUAAGAGUUCACCAGAGGGAUGACCGUCGCCAGUAGUAGACCCUUUACUUUAAAUUUUCCUUAUAAAAAGGAAUCAUGUUUUUCUGUCUAUGCCUGAUAUGGCAUUUUCUAUGAAAUUAUCUUGUACCGUAAGUACUUUAGUUAGGUCUUUAUGCUGUCACGAACUACCUUCUGUGGAUAUGAUGUAAGACCUUUACAAGUCCAUUUUCCUGAACCUUUACGUCGUGAAUAUCCAAGAUAUUGAUAGCCGGCUAACUUCUGUGUCAUUCUUCAUUCAAGUACUCUUAUCAUUCUUUCAUUGGGGUCUACCUGAAACAUGCUUUAGUCAAGUCAUUGGACUAUAGUGAUUUAUCUCCGAAGACAUUUCCAAGUCUCUUUCAGUGGAUGGAUCUUGUUAUUCACCAGCCCACGAUACCUCAGCUCGAACAUCAAACGUCUUGAGACCAUUCUACGAACUUACUCUACUCUUUACUAGGACUGCAUCAUAGGGAUGUAGGUCAAACCUUCGCGAACAUACUUUCAUUCUGUACUAGGACUGCAUCAUAGGGAUGUAGGUCAAUCUUUCGAGAACAUACUUCCACUCUUUACAUGAACAAUCUAAGUACAUCAAGGUCAACCAGAAUCGCUCACAAAAUCCUUAUCUUUCGUGUUACAGAAUCAUGUCAUCAUCUGGAAGCAACCAGUCGAACAGGGAAACCUCCAUUUUUCCUAUGGACGCCACUACCUUUCAAACGACAGUUACAGCUGCCAUAGNCGUAACCGCGGUCCUUGCGCACCGUAACGCUAUCAGCACAGUCAAUGCUACUGAUGGGAAUGAAGUUUCCAAUCGUGAUAUCCAUCCAGGAAGUCACCAAACAGUAACAGUCAGAGACUCGCAAAGCCGAAAAGCAGAGAACAAGAAACGAAAGCGUCAAGCCCGGAAAGAAUGCAAGAGAUCCCAAAAGCUGGCUACACAACAACAGCAACUAGAAACCCAUGCCGUUCCCAUACCGAGCAGACCCUACAAAGGAACACUCCCGAAGUGCGACCGGUGCAACUACCACCACGAGGGAAUGUGUCGAGUCUUGCAAUGCGAUAAUUGCAACAAGAUAGGGCACAUUGGUCGUUUCUGUAGAACUACCUCCACCAUUGGGGCAAGCCUAGCUUGCUAUAAUUGUGGUGAGUUUGGGCACUAUAAAAGAGAUUGCCCGAAGAAGGAAAUUAAGGAAAGAACCCGUGUCCCCAUAAAUCCCACUCGACACUUCACUUCCACCACCAAUAUUGGUGUUGUCCAGAUAUGUCACCAAUGCGGUGAAAUUGGACACUUCAAGAAAGAUUGCCCAAUAACAAAGAGCUCGGGUGCUGAUGGGAAGAUUCUCAGGAUCACAGCUGUAGGAGAGCUUACUCCGGAACCCUCGUUAAUGUAAUUUAGGCAUUUUGUUGUAACAGACUUAUGAACUAUCCAGAACUAGUGCAACUAGAGUCUUACUUUUUGCGAGAUCCUGUCUGUAUAGGGAUUCUCGUGCUGCGUAUACUUGUCUUUUGUACUAUAUCUUAUUCGCAGCAAUAGUCUUAUGGUAAAUCUAAAGUACUGUAACUCUGUUCAUGGUUGCAUGAUUGUGUUUUGUCUGUAANCUUAUGUUCAAAUCUAAUGUCUUUAAGUUUCAGUAUGAUUUCGACAUUAUCAUACGAAUCGAUUAAAUUUGAUCCUCACGAAAACAGCUUCAUACGUACAUCUCUUUCUUCUAGAUCACUUUUCCAGCAAAGCCGUCAUAUCAGAACACAGAAGUACUCAUGCCAGGAGUACCUCUUAGUUAUUUUCUUUCCGAAGAAAUCCCCGAAGUACCACUCGUGCAGUACGUCAAGUUCAAUCCAAGGAUUCAUGUGGAUGAUCUAUCACUGAGGAAUGAAUACAUAAGAGUGUUAUAUAAUCAAGGUUCUACAAGUUUAGAAUUGAUGAUUUCGCUUUAACUCUUUUACUCAUUGGGAUGUGAGGGUAAGGAAGAAUCGGUUAUUCGACUACCUUUUCAAUCUUGAUUAUAUAUGACUCGUAUACACAAGAUUGUGAUCGUGAAGCCAUGUAUGAAUUCUAAAAUGAACUUCAGGAUGGAGAACUGCCUAAUUAUACGUGUAAUGACAUCUUCAAGUGAACAAACUUAGAACCCAAUACGACUCCCAUAAACAGAUCACCCUAUAGUCUAAACACCCACGGAGAUACAAGAACAGUCCGGACAACUUAGCGAACUACACAAAAAUAGAAUUAGAAGACUAGGUUUCUCACCCUAGAGAACCUCGGUCAUAUUCUCCCAGAGAUCGAUGGAUUGCAUAGUAUGUACCUCGGUUAUCGAGGACUCUGUCAAGAUUUUUCAUUAGAAAUCGUUAUCUCUACCGUACAUAGAUGAAAUGGUUGAGCAAACGCAAGGAAAUAAUUCCUUUCAGAAAUAGAUCUGAUAUCCGAAUAUCACCAGUUCGAGUGUUAUGGAAGGGUGUCCGAAAGACUAACUUCCGAAUUCGGUGCGAACACUUCGAGUCCGUAGUGAUACCUUUCGGAUAGGACCAAUACGCCCAUAGUUUUCAUGAGCUAAAUUAAUAGGGUACGACUUUCUUACUUGGAUCAGUACGUCAUUUCCCCAAGAAAUGACUUACUUAUCUACCCUCGUAGUAAGAAGAAAACCCAUGGAAACAUUUCCUACAGAGGAACUUUAGCGAAGUUCUCUAGGCACAAGUUUUGAAAUUGAAGAGUCAAAUUUCUAUGACACACUGAUAGUAAUGUGACAAAUUAAGAGCACUCUUUCAAUUUGUCAGAACCGUUGAGCAUUUAUCGACAUCAGAGACGCAGACAGACUUUCGCCAAAUUCUAGGUCUUACCGACCUACCGUCUGUGACAACCCGAAAUUUUCAUUUGUACGAACAAUAUCUAUUCAANNNNNNNNNNNNNNNNNNNNNNNNNNNNNNNNNNNNNNNNNNNNNNNNNNNNNNNNNNNNNNNNNNNNNNNNNNNNNNNNNNNNNNNNNNNNNNNNNNNNGAUGUCUUUCUGUUCUUGGCUGGUAUCGACGACGUGUGCGAGGAACGCAUGAUACUCCUUCCGCAAGCACUUCUGUGCUUGAAUGCACGAAAUGAUGUGAAUGCUCGUACUAGGUUUGUCGCCGUAGAUAAUUAAGGUUUCGUUGUUAGGACGGUUAAGACGAACUGCUUUUUCGAAGCACAUAAUGUCGGCACGUAGAAGACUCAACCAAUCCAUACCGAUGAUAACGUCGAAACAUUUAAUGGUAACUGGCAUGAGAUCUAUCUUGAAAGUAUGGCUAUCUAAAGUUAAGGUACAACCUACGUAUAUGCAGUUUGUACUCUCUGUUCUCCCGUUAGCCAUUUCUACUAUGAAUGAACUAUCUAAUGCACAUGGUUUUUGUUUAAGCAGGUGUGCAAAUUUGUGACUUACAAAACUUUUCUCGGCUCCACUAUCGAAAAGUAUGCAAGCAUAAGAGUUAUCGAGGAGGAACGUACCAGUAACUAUCGUAGGAUCAGCUACUGUUUCCUCGUGGCCUAGGGCUAUAACUCUUCCCACUCCUCCAGCCAUCCCUGCUUUAGGGCAGUUCCUCUUGUAGUGGCCCACUUCGCCACAUCCGUAACAAGCUUGGCCCAUAUCGGUGUUUGGAACCUGAGCAGCUUGAGCUGUUGGAGUUUUGCAGAAACGGACAGUGUGUCCCUUCUUGUUGCAGUUAGAGCACUGCAUCUCCCUGCAAGGUCCGAGGUGAUGGAAGUUGCACUUGGUGCACUUCGGAAGGUUUCCAGCAUAUGCUCUUGCUGGUAAGAGGUUGGCAUGGGCAACAGGAGUGACUGUGGCAGCAUUGAUUGCCACAAGUUGUUGUUUCCUGGAGGACCCUUGUGAGGCCCGUCUUUUCCUCUUAUUCCACCCUUUCUUGUCAUGGUCGGGGUUGGACUUUUGUGGUACAGGGGUAGGGAUUGUUAUGUUAUGGGGUUUCUGGUGAUCGAUGAGGGAUUGUGCCAGUUCUUUGGCACUAUCAAAAGUAAUACGCCUGGAAGCGAUCACACUUGACUGGAUCUAGGGUGAUAGUCCCCAGAUAUACGUCUAGAUCUUUUUGCUCUGGAGAGCAACCAUGUCGGGGCAUAAGUUUGCCAAAUCACAAAACCUAUUUGUGUAGGUAGUGAUGUCGGAUCCAACCAUUUGUAGACCCCAGAAUUCCUGCUCGAGUUUUUGUACUUCGCCUCGAGGACAAUAUUCUUUCAUGAGCAUCUCUUUCAAUUUAUCCCAGUUGAUGGAAUACGCCACCACCAGAGUUAGAUAGUUAACAUUGCUGUUCCACCAUGUUGGUGCUCGGUCAGAGAAGGUACAAGCUGCGAACUUGACCUUGCUGCCUUCUUGGCAUGCGCAGAUCUCGAAGACAGAUUCCAUCUUCUCGAUCCAUUGUCUCAACACCAUAACACCCCCAGUUCCAUUGAAGCUGCGUGGUUUGCUGUUAGUGAAGUCCUUGUAGGUGCAUCCCCGAGGGUGUCCAUGGCUUUCGCCGUGGUUCGAGGGUAGUGCACCUGUUCCUGAUCCACUAGGGGCAGGAGCGUUGAUUGCUGACACAGCAGCUGCAACUGCUGCUGUGAAAGCUGCCUGGAACAUAGUGGCAUCAAAAGGAUUUGGGGGUUGAAGAGGUACAGGUGGUGGUGGAGGUGGUGGUAUUGGUGCUGCGUUGUUUGGGUUCCUCCUUGGAUUCCUACGUGGCGGCAUCUUUAACUAUACGUUUAAAAGAUGACGACAUGGAUAAGAAUAAAUGAUAAAUGAAUGUGUCUCAUGGACUAAAUCCCCAUAGUCCAACAACAGAAAGAAUAGCAUGACUAAAUGAAGAAGAUAGCAUUUGGAUAAUAAUUUCCAUAAGAUUAGAUAUCUGUCAAUAAUACUGGAAUUACAGAUGUAACAAGUUCGGGAAAAAUGGCCUAGAAGUAGGCCUUACAUCAACCAAGAUGGAAAAUUUUGACAGAAUUAAGACUAGAUCAAGACCUAACAGGUCUAAGAUUUAUACAGAUAGGAAAUUAGACCAAAGUUUUACAUAAACUAGGUUAUAUCCAAAAGAUGAGUUGACGAUAUUCUAUCGGCGACGAGAACUGCUAGCAUGAGUCCUCGAUCCCGACAGUAGACGUUCAAUGUCCCUUAUACGCCUGUCCGACCUUGCUUGUUGAGCUCGAAGUUCUCUAACUUCAGCUCGGGUUUCAGCAAGUUCCCUCUGCAGAUUUGCAUUGCGGACCAGAGUCCUUUCAUGAGCAGACUCUAGUUGGCGAAUGUGGACAGUGUUAACACCAGAGUUGGCGUCAACUUCCAAGACUUGAUUGAUAGUCGCCUGAGCNAUCCUAUGCACCAUGAUUGGUAGGACUCUAUCAGCAGAACCUCCUUCAGUGAGGUUGUAGAAACUUCGGUCGCCAUUGUAAGGAAUGGGCUGACCUUGUUCUUGACUCCAUUCAGUCAAGUUACUGGCCCACAAGGGUGUGGGUCCUUGAAACACAGGGUGAGGGUUUAGGUUUGGGUUUUGAACAGCUGGUGGUAGGUUGUUGACUUCUGGCUCCGAGUCAGAACUAUCGGAAAAUNNNNNNNNNNNNNNNNNNNNNNNNNNNNNNNNNNNNNNNNNNNNNNNNNNNNNNNNNNNNNNNNNNNNNNNNNNNNNNNNNNNNNNNNNNNNNNNNNNNNAGUCACUUUAAAUUAUUGUUCAAAACUCCUAGAUAUCUUGCAAAAUCAGNAUAUUUUACCUUUUUGAAUCAAACUAUACUUAUACGUAUAUGUUCAUUUAUAUGUUAGAGAUUAUAGUUUUCAUCCUUCGUUCAGUUUCCCGCACCCUGGCGUUGCGAGGGUGCAUAAACCUACUUGAACAACCACAUACUUUCCAGUUAGCUAUCAUAGGGAUAGUCAGAAGAUAUCAAACAAGAGUCAGUUCAUUCAUGAGUCUAUACUAAUGCCUUACAUGAUACAUGAGUACACGUACUUAGGAUUAUAUGAUACAUGAAUAUGUUUACAUAUACUUACCUGUUACAUGAACACACUUACAUGAAUACCAUACAGGGACACUUCUUCAUAGGUGCAUUAUCCUGUAUUUACUUACCUUGGAUACUUGAACUUAGAUCUAAGAGGAUGAUUUAUUAGUAUUUACUGUGUAAAUUGUCUUUCCUAUCCCCGUUCAAUGGGAUGUUUCGGCGGGACUUACCAUUCCGAAUCUCACUGAUUAGCACCAGUGGUCGAUGACGUCUACGGAUGUCUAAGGUAGUCACUUGAUUAGUAGUCAGUGACGGGACUAACUAUCCCUCUGUCCACUGUUGCAACAGUGGAUGAGAUGUGAAUCUUCGGAGGAUCAUUAGGUUGACGAUCUGCAUCAAGAGAUCGAUUCAGGGGCUAACCCUCCUUAGACCCUGCUGCUGCUACAGAGGAUGAGGGGACACUCUUCGGAUGUUCCUUAGGGUCUAUCUUUCGCUUCAGCGAUGUCGUGUUUGUCCUGGUAAUCCAAGACAAUAACACUUACAUGAUUUUAUUUUCCCUGUUUACUUUAUUUUGUGAUUACUUUCACAUAAACGAGGAGUUAGACUAAGUGCUUUAGUACUAGUCAAUAGAAAGGAAAAACUACACUUCAUUCAUACAAAACAUUCGAGUCUUGGUAGAAGACUACACUUCAUACAUACAAAACAUUCGAGUCUUGGUAGAAGACUACACUUCAUACAUACAAAACAUUCGUGUCUUGGUAGAAGACUACACUUCAUACAUACAAAACAUUCGAGUCUUAAUAGAAGACUACCUUUCAUACUUAUAGAAAAUAAGGGUUUUUCUAGGGAUUUCAUACUUACCUCAACAUUUUCACUUAAGGGUUUACAUGCCAUUCAUAGCAGAUUUUCACAAACAAAGCAAUGACACUUAUAUACUUAUGAACUCACCAGCUUUAAAGCUGAUACUCUCUUUCAAAAUAACUUGUGUUCUCAGGUCGCCAGUAGACAGGUACGGAGGACAGGUUUCGAGAAGAUGGAGCAGUAAAGUCUCGUCUUUUAUUUUGAUUGUAUAUUUUUGGUGUCUUAUUACAAUGAAAGAACACACAUGUAUAAAACUUUACUUAUAAUGCAAUGGAUGAUGUUGUUGCUUGUUUAUUAUAUUACACUGUUGUGAUACUGUACAUGACGUCCUCCACCCCUGAACGUUUCCGCCGUUCGUGGUUUUGGGGUGUGACAGAUUGGUAUCAGAGCAUUGUUUAUAGUGAAUAUAGUAUAUCAACCCAUAAAAGAUAUACUAACUAUAAAUACAUGGGAUUAAAACACUCUGUCUCAGAGUUAUACUUUUAAAUAAUAAAAUAUUUAANAGGUUAACUCACUCUGGGAAUGGCUUAAUACGCUUCGUAAAGCAUGGAAAGCUAAAUCCAAGAUAGACAGGACCUCCGAGAUUCUUAUCAGAAUCGGUCUUGUGCCUCGCACAAACUAGACCUACUCCGCGAACUCAGUAACGUACAUUCUACUCUUCGCAUCUCGAUCGUGAAACCAUACAUUUCUGUUAGGACUCUAGUAAGUCCACUUGUCGAGAUCCUCGCCUUCGUAUUAGAACCGCAGUAACCCUCAACCGAGUGGUCAAGCGGACAAAGCAACGCCGUCGCUAGUUAGUGAAGGUUCGUUGGAAUGCCAACCGAGAACCCAAUUUCACUUAGGUGCGCUAGAACCAAUCGAUUAGGAAGUUUUCUCCUCAAGACUCGAUCAUUCGUACAUACUUCCUUGCUUAAAUUCUUAUUUCGGGACGAAAUUCCCUUCAACAGGGGGAUGAUGUGACAACCCGAAAUUUCCAUUCUGAACAAACCAUAUCAAGCCAAUAGAAGUAGAACAGUUACAGUGAAAACUCAGAUUUCGAGUAUAAGUUUGGCAGUUUUCAGGAUUUUACACUUAAGGAGAUAUUAGGAGAGUGGAUGCACUAGGGUUUUGUGCAACACUGUUAUUCCAAUACUCUAGGACAUUAGAGUUCGUUCCAGGAAUAAAAAUAUUUUCUGCCAAAAAUAUCUCCGGACUAUAAAUAGAAUUCUGAACCAAAUUGGUUCAUUUGUUGAAUUCCAUUUAGAGAAAAGUCAAUAUUCUCUCUCAUGGAUCUUCGGGUUUUCAUCCCAAAUCGUGAGUAUACUUCUCUAGUUGUUUUAUAAUUCUUGUUAUAAGCUUAAUAACAUAGAUUACAUGCCAAUUAUGUGAGAUCCGGGAGUUUACCGCCCAAGAACGUUCUUGGGGAGUAAACUCCAUUUUAAGGUCCUAAAGGGUUCCAAUGACCCUCAAAGCUUUAGAACUCCAACUAGAAGCCUCCAAUUCAUGCUUUAGACCACAAAACAAUUAGGAAUCAUGGCUAGAAUUGAGUUCACGGCCACGGAGCUUCUUAGGCCGUGAACUCCAUGUUUUAGGUGCCAAAAUGCUUUCAAACACUUCCUAAGGCUUAAGAUUAAAGUAGAACAUGUACCCUAAAGUGUUUAUAACCUAGCAAACAAAAUAAAUCACAAGGAAAAAGGAGUUUACGACCAAGACAAACUCUUGAACCGUAAAUACCUAUAAAGGGGUCAAAUGACACCCUAACUCCUUCCUUAAGCCAAGAGACCAAUUUGGGCAUGUACCUAAAUGAGUUUUGGACUAGCUAACACACUUAGAACACCAAGAGUAAGGUGUUCACGGCCCAAAAGGUUCUAGGGCCGUGAACUCCAUAAAAUGGUGCCAAAUGGUGCCAUAAACUCUUCUAAAGCCAAGUACAAAAGCCUAGUUUAGUUCCUAGUUAAUUUAGAGACUUGAAAACACCAUAAUCACCCUCCCAAGGGAGUUUACGGCCGUAAAAUCCAAGGGAAUAUGGUCUCUGGGCCGUAAACUCCCCAAAGGAGUUGAUAUGGCACCCAAACACUUAUUAUAGCCCAGAAGCAAUUCACUACAUGAGUUGUACAAUUAGUAGACACCAUUUAGGGACUUGAUUGAGAGUUUACAGCCAGGAGUUUACUCCCCUGGGCCGUAAACUCCAAAUUAUAUGGUCAUUAGACCUUAAACUCCCAUUGGGGGCAUUGCACUCCUUUAUUGCAACCCAUUAGCCUCCUAGCACUUGACCAAAAGUGUUUUCCUCACGUUUAAAUGUUAAUACUUGUAUAAUUAGUGUUAUAAUCACUAAUUAUUUAUAUACAUAUGUUUUCAUAUGUAAUUAGGAUCAUUGGGUGUGUCUCAGUCUUAAGUUGACACCAAGCACUUGUCUGAUCCAUCCGUACGAUCACAGUCCGUUCAAUUCCAGUCACUUACUAUAGGUGAGUUCAUACCCCUUAACUAAUGUUUUAAACUAUUUUUAAAUGUUUUAUGGGGGGAUACAAGUAGAAUCUUGCUAGUUCUUAUAUCAAUCACAUGUGAUUAAUAAGUAGAAUUAUGCUAGUUAUUACAUCAAUCACAUGUGAUUAAUAUACAGCAUUCAAACGAUUUGGCUACUCAUUAGCCGUUUUACCAAACAGUUUCCUUCAAAUGAUUUUUAUAAAAAUUUUAUAUGUUUUAAACUCCUUAUUACACUGUACCUCUUACUCUGUUUAUUACCUUUCAAACUUAUUUACAACUGUGUUUCAAACAAAUGUUUCCUUAUACUCAAAAUUGUUUUAUCAAACUUAUGCCUUCAAAUUGUUUUAUAGAUUGACAUCAAGUCGAUCUUUUCAUAAAAUAAUAUUUAUGUUUCAAAUGUCUUACAAAACUUAUUUAUGCUCUUAUAUUAUAAAUUGCAAGCCUCUAUAUGUAUAGUUAUAUAAGACAUGUUUAAAAGACUUAGGAAGGCUAUCCACCGUAUUUCCUUUUCGCGCUUGAGAUGUGGUCUGGUGGGAUAUCGGGUACUCGUCUGAAGGUCGUUUAAAUAUUAGUUAUAUAUCAUGUGUACAUAUAUAGUCAUAAAAGGUCCUUCCAGUUCAAGAUAUGCCCUUGGGUAGCAAGGGUAUACAUCCAUGUUCAUACGUACCAGUUAGAUUACUAGUAAACUACCAUAUGGGUAGUUUAGGAAGAUACUAGAAUAAUUACUAGAACGCGAUAUCAUACAAUGAGUCAGUUCAUUCAUGAGUCAAUACUUUCUAGAACAUUACAGUACAUUACAUAUACAACUAUACUAGGAAGAGAACAUAUACAACUAUACUAGAAUGAUUACAUUACUAUACUUGCUAGGUAGAGAGCAUGUACAUUAUAGCUAGAACAAUUCAU
rnacentral:lncRNA from 1 species